rnacentral:tRNA from 1 species
CAGGGUAUAACUUAACUCAAAGUCUUUCGCUUACACCGAAACCAUAUUUGUGAAAACCAAAUUACCCUG